CCUACGGGAGGCAGCAGUGGGGAAUAUUGGACAAUGGGGGGAACCCUGAUCCAGCCAUGCCGCGUGUGUGAAGAAGGCCCUCGGGUUGUAAAGCACUUUCAGUGAGGAAGAACGCCUGGUGGUUAAUACCCAUCAGGAAAGACAUCACUCACAGAAGAAGCACCGGCUAACUCCGUGCCAGCAGCCGCGGUAAUACGGAGGGUGCGAGCGUUAAUCGGAAUUACUGGGCGUAAAGCGCGCGUAGGUGGCUUGAUAAGCCGGUUGUGAAAGCCCCGGGCUCAACCUGGGAACGGCAGCCGGAACUGUCAAGCUAGAGUGCAGGAGAGGAAGGUAGAAUUCCCGGUGUAGCGGAGAAAUGCGUAGAGAUCGGGAGGAAUACCAGUGGCGAAGGCGGCCUUCUGGACUGACACUGACACUGAGGUGCGAAAGCGUGGGUAGCAAACAGGAUUAGAUACCCGAGUAGUC
rnacentral:rRNA from 1 species